UACGAAGGGGGCUAGCGUUGUUCGGAAUUACUGGGCGUAAAGGGUUUGUAGGUGGCCCGCUAAGUCACACGUGAAAUCCCUCAGCUUAACUGGGGAACUGCGUGUGAGACUGGCAGGCUCGAGGGCAGGAGAGGAACGCGGAAUUCCAGGUGUAGCGGUGAAAUGCGUAGAUAUCUGGAGGAACACCGGUGGCGAAGGCGGCGUUCUGGACUGUCUCUGACACUGAAGAACGAAAGCCAGGGGAGCAAACGGG
rnacentral:rRNA from 1 species